rnacentral:rRNA from 1 species
GAUGAACGCUGGCGGCGUGCUUAACACAUGCAAGUCGAACGGAAGAUAUACGGUGAUGCGAUUUCGGUCAAAUCAUGUGUAUCUUUAGUGGCGGACGGGUGAGUAACGCGUGGGUAACCUGCCUUGCACUGGGGGAUAACACUUAGAAAUAGGUGCUAAUACCGCAUAAGCGCACAGGACUGCAUGGUCCGGUGUGAAAAAUUCCGGUGGUGCAAGAUGGGCCCGCGUCUGAUUAGCUGGUUGGUGGGGUAAAGGCCCACCAAGGCGACGAUCAGUAGCCGGCCUGAGAGGGUGGACGGCCACAUUGGGACUGAGACACGGCCCAA